UGUUUUUUGAAAAUAAAGAACUAGUUGAGUAACUUCGUUUUUGAUUGAUCUGUGAAGAGGAAGGGUUGUUGGUGGUAGAUGAAGCAGUAGGGGGUUUAGUGGAUUGGGUCUGAAUGAUAGCAUCGGCAAAUGGCUUGUCAGACUGAAUGAACUUGGAGAUUUUAUUCAAAUCUUUUACACCGUACCAAAAGUAGUAAAAAUUAUUAGCAAACAAAGUACCUUCGCUUUUAGAGAAGAACCAUUCCAGAUUCUUGGCUGAAGGUUGAAGACGCCAUAGCAAAGAAGGGAAGUCUGCUUUUAAUGUUGUUAAUAUGCUAUCAACAACAUUGUUUAACCAAUUAUUGUCGGCGGCACCAAAAGCUAAGAGUACUGGCAAGGAUGAGUCGGUGGUGUCGACAAUAGCAACAGAUUCAUUGAAAGAGUCACUAUAAAUACGAAGUUUUCUGUCUUUCAGAGUAUCCUUGAACUGUUUCAAGCUUUCACUAGGUGCGGCUAAAGAAUUUUUUUGAAUGAUCAAAUUUUCUAGAGCAGCGUCUGGAAUGCUAUCCAACGAGUCAUGUUUGUUGAUGACAAAACCGCGACUAAUCAAAGUACCAGCGCCAGAUUCCGUAAAAAGCUCUUUUUGCAAAUCCUUCGUACUAAUAAUGGCUACGGAAGAUGUACGGGGAAGAGUAUCAAGUAACUCUUUGAUUUCUUUGAUUUUGAGCUUCGUACCAUACUUGACCCAUGGUUGCUUCAUGAGGCCAUCGUACUCCCUAUCCAAAUAGAUGCUGCUAAUUUUUUUCUUUGUUUCACCGUUGAUAAGUCCACCUUUUUCAUUGAGAUAGACCACCUUUAGAGGCUUCAAUACGCGAGCAAGCUCACCAGCAGUAAUGUCGGCGUUGACAUUCAACAAUUGACCAGAAGCAGUUUCGGCCAUAGACGUAAGAAUAGGGAGGGUUCCAGCACGAAUACUGUGUUCAAUAGGAGCUUUGUUUACCUUGACAAUCUUGCCAACAUACUUGUAUUUUUCUUUGUCGAGAUACUCUGCCUGAAAUACACCACCUGUAAUGGGACGAGCACGAGUUCCCAACUUUUCCAAAGCAUCUACAAGUUUCGCAUUUUCCUCUAAGAAAACUUUACGAGCUACAGAAAGAGUCUCGGCAUCGGUGAUUCGAAUACCAUCGCUAUACUCGGGUUCAACAUUUCUGCUGGCAAGAAUUUUGUUUAAUUGGGGACCAGCGCCAUGCACAACGAUGGGAUAAAGACCCACAUGAUUCAAAAAGGCAAGACUUUGUGCCAAUGUGUCUAAUUCGUCGGUGAUAAUGGCACCACCAACCUUGAUAAUAGCGAAACGUUGAGCUUCGAAGGAAGUAAAGUAUCGUAGGUAUUGCUCAACUUCACGACGGCUUCCGAUGGAGGAAAGAAUUCUAAUGAUGGCAUCACGAUCUUGUUCAAUUGGUUUCGCGAGUGGGUUUAACGGUUGUUGUUGACCCGGGGCAAAACUGCCUUGAAAACGUUUGCUUGCAAUGACUGAUGCAUUGGAACAUAGUAAGCUCCUUUUCGUACAGUGUUUCGCUCCAUUCCGUACAAGACCGGACUUGACAAUUUGUUGCAAUUCAAUAAGCAUUGCCAAAUUCUAGUGAUAUUCUAUGAUUUACUGUAGUUGGUAGAAGGCAGUUUGGUUGGUUUCAAAAUUGGAAAAUCAUUUGCUUCGUAAACGUAGCUAUAAUUCGUUAAAAUUUGAUUGCUGUAUCUAGGGAUUUGCUCUGGAGAUAAUCACUCAAAAAGAUGAGAUCGAUAAUGUUACUUGUUGGCUGAAAAUUACAUCGGAAACCAACAGUUUACAUGAAAGUGCUGCAAACGUGAGACAUGGACAUUUAAUGAAUUAAAGCUAUAUAAAUGACACUGUAAAAGCAACUCAUUUGCCGACAAUGAAUCUAUUUGUAUAUACAUUAUUUAAUACUAGUCCUAACUGACACAGUACAAUAUUCAUUAUUUCUAUGCAAGCCAGUUCAAUAUCUUGAUUUAUACAUGAAAGCAUUCUUUUGAAACAAUAUUUUGUUUUCUAUUUGAUUUCGCGUUGAAUAGUCCCAAUGACCCUGAUGAGACAAAAGCACUUAUCAUAAAAUUUAUUAUCUAAGAUAAUCUCGUUAAAAAAAAAAAAAAAAAAAAAAAAAAAAAAAAUUUGGCAAGAAGCCCUUCUCUUUCGUUAAAACUUGUUUCGCUUUAUGCAAUACUGUAAGUGUAAGCUUGUAAUAUAGCGAAUCUGUGAACUCAUUGUUCAUUUCAUGGUAGUUGUUGAUUUCACAAGCAUGCUGAGUUAUCAAUAUAGUAACACAAUUGGU